rnacentral:rRNA from 1 species
UAGUCCUCUUAUGAGGCUAGUUAUGUUUUGAGUAGUAAUGCUCCAAUAGGUUACAAAACUAACAUAAUACCAACUAUGUUGGAUAAAGUUCUAGAUAGAAUACUGAUUAUGACAAUUUUCUAUCUACAUGUCUUGACCAAAUUACGUGCCAGCAGUCGCGGUAAUACGUAGAAGACUAGUGUUAUUCAUAUUUAAUAGGUUUAAAGGGUACCUAGACGGUAUUACUAACCCAAACAGGGAAAUAGUUUUGCUAGAGUUUUAUAUGAGAAGGGGAGUAUUUAAGGAGUAGAGAUGAAAUUCUGUCAUACUUUAAGGACUGGUAAAGGCGAAAGCAACCUUUUAUGUAAAAACUGACGUUGAGGGACGGAGGCUUGGAUAGCGAACAGGAUUAGAUACCCUAGUAGUCCUUGCAGAGAAUGAUGAAUGCCACAGGCUAGAUUUUAAUUUGGUCUAUAAAUGAAAGUGUAAGCAUUCCACCUCAAGAGUAAUGUGGCAACGCAGGAACUGAAAUCAUUAGACCGUUUCUGAGAACAGUAGUGAAGUAUGUUAUUUAAUUCGAUAACCCUCGAAAAACCUUACCACAACUUGAAUGGUGUCAUUGGUCUUGAAGGAUUAAGGAAAUAUAAACUCCUUAAUACUAAGAAAGAGAGAAANGUAGAAGUACGUUUAAGAAACGUACUUCUACAUUUCUUAAGAAACGUAGAAGUACGUUUCUUACGGUGAUGUUACAGGUGUUGCACGGUUGUCUUCAGCUAAUGUCGUGAGAUUUUGGUUAGUUCCAUAAAAUUAGCGUAAACCCCGGCUUUAUUUUUAAAUUAUUAUCAUAAAGCAGUUCAUCACUAUAUUGAAAACUUGAUAACAGGG